rnacentral:rRNA from 1 species
UGCGAUGACACGCAAUCAAUACAACUUUCAACAACGGAUCUCUUGGCUCUCGCAUCGAUGAAGAACGCAGCGAAAUGCGAUACGUAAUGUGAAUUGCAGAAUUCAGUGAAUCAUCGAAUCUUUGAACGCACCUUGCGCCCCUUGGCAUUCCGAGGGGCACACCCGUUUGAGUGUCGUGAAAUUCUCAAAAACCCCUUCCUUUGGUGGAAAGGAUUUUGGACUUGGAGGCCUUUUGCUGGUUUCACCUUGAAGCGAGCUCCUCCCAAAUGGAUUAGCGGGGUCUGCUUUGCUGAUCCUUGACGUGAUAAUACAUUUCUACGUCUUGGGUUUCUGCACUGUACCUCUGCUUCUAACCGUCUCAUUGACAACGAUGGUGUUCCGGUCACCGCCGAUUCAUCGGUGGGAGGCUUGACCCACAAAACGACCUUGACCUCAAAUCGGGUGAGACUACCCGCUGAACUUAAGCAUAUCAAUAAGCGGAGGA